rnacentral:rRNA from 1 species
UACAGAGGUGGCAAGCGUUGUUCGGAAUUACUGGGCGUAAAGGGCGCGUAGGCGCCUUCUAAGUCAGACGUGAAAUCCCCGGGCUUAACCUGGGAACUGCGUUUGAAACUGGAAGGCUUGAGUGUGGCAGAGGGGGGUGGAAUUCCACGUGUAGCAGUGAAAUGCGUAGAGAUGUGGAGGAACACCGAUGGCGAAGGCAGCCCCCUGGGCUAACACUGACGCUCGAUGCACGAAAGCGUGGGGAGCAAACAGG